rnacentral:lncRNA from 1 species
AUGGAUUUGAGAAGGGAUACCGUGGACAACAAUCCUGUGUUUCAGAUGUCCCUCAGUCGCCAUCAAGGAUGGAUCAAAGUGUCAGAACCAGAGAGCAACCUCUGUCAGGUGAAGUCCACAAAACAUAUUGCAUGUAACAAGACAGUUGUUACAUAACCUACAGCAUCGUCAAGCAAGGUCAGCUGUGUGGUCUACUUAAAGACCCCAUGCAGUGAUUUGACCUCUUCAUGGAACCAACACAGGAGCAGGGGCUGCUGCUGAUGCUUCUACUCUAUAUUACACCAUGACCCAUAUACACUCAUUACCCCCCAAGCUACACACACACACACAAGCAUGCACACACAACCGCACGUACGCGCCCACACACACACCUUUGGUAAAAUAUGUUCUAACAGGUGACGUUACAACAGGUUACAACAUUCCUUGAUGGGAAGGAAUAGUGCAGGCCUAUUACAUGCUCUCUCUAUAGGCAGGAUAUCACCAUUUCACUAAUAUCAUACAAAUCAAUAAAUCAUGGCACGUUUUGGCCUCAUUCAGUAGCAUUUCAUCUGAUAAAGUAGAAUAC